GUCGUGGCGCCGACCGGAGAAGAGGCCGUCAAAGAGGCCCAUCGCGGUGCGUGGCGGCCGGCCGCAUCGCCCGUGGCUCCGUCAAGCGCACGCGCACGUACGCCCGGCCAAGGCGGCAAAGGGGGAUCGCGCAUGCCGUGGCGUGCUCCGGACGCGCUGCCCUUCUCGGGGAAGCACAACUCCGUCGGCCCGGGGUCCACGGUGCCCGAGGAGCAGCGGCAAUCGGCGCAGCAGGAGCCUUGAGCUGAAGGAGUCGUCUCCAUGUUGUCCUCGAUCGAGGUUACUUACAUGUGGAACUACUUACUAGGUACGUGCCUGACUGAUGGCCAUUAGAUCGAGUUUGCCGCGAAAAUUACAUAACGGCAUAAAUUUUCCUCUUGUUUUCGUGUACAUUCUACCAGUGAUCUGUUACCUGUUAGAUCUGCAUACUCCUCCAGCUGAGCUCGUUGUCACUGCUCCGGUUAAGUAAAGGUGAUCGAUACUGGCUAGUGGCUUGAGCAAGGAAUCAACUAACUAUAUCUACAUGAUGGAAAGAUGAGCUUCCUUUUGCCUCGUGUGCUUAUAAAUGACUCUGCCUAUUUAUGCAUCAUUAGCUGAAUCAAAUUCUCAUUCCGAUAGAGCAGGGCGCCUGUCUUUCCUCAACCCCCUGUUCUUUUAGAAAUUGAAAGUGAUGAAUUAUCAGCUUUCAGAGUGAGUGAGUGAGUGAGUGUGUGUGCGUGUGCGUGCAGCAAAAGUUUGGCAGAGCGAGUGAAUCUUCGACCGUUUGUCAUUUACCCCCAUUAUUGCUGCCAAGUGCCAACAUAUGGAGCUACCGGGCCCUGGCCUCCUUCUUCUUCACCGUCUCUCAUGGUCUCACUCUGCCAGCUAAAACAAUAUCUUGUCUCGGUAAACUGGCUUGGCAACGGUGAGCAAAGAAAAAAACAGAGGUUGAUGCUCUGGUUCAGAUUAUGUACAUGUCACCAAUGAAGUACUUUUAAUUGAUUGGUAACAGCCUGUCAGGCACAUUAGAGAUCAAGCAUAAAAACACUUGCUAGCUUACAACAGUAUGGAAGUACAGAAAGCACACUAUCAUUACACGGUU